GCAGGUAUAGUUUAGUGGUAGAACAAGUGCUUCCCAAGCAUUUAGUGUGGGUUCGAUUCCCAUUACUUGCUCCA
rnacentral:tRNA from 1 species